GUGGGGAAUAUUGGACAAUGGGCGAAAGCCUGAUCCAGCAAUGACGCGUGAGUGAUGAAGGCCUUAGGGUUGUAAAGCUCUUUUACCAGGGAUGAUAAUGACAGUACCUGGAGAAUAAGCUCCGGCUAACUCCGUGCCAGCAGCCGCGGUAAUACGGAGGGAGCUAGCGUUGUUCGGAAUUACUGGGCGUAAAGCGCACGUAGGCGGUUACUCAAGUCAGAGGUGAAAGCCCGGGGCUCAACCCCUGAACUGCCUUUGAAACUAGGUAACUAGAAUCUUGGAGAGGUCAGUGGAAUGCCGAGUGUAGAGGUGAAAUUCGUAGAUAUUCGGAAGACCACCAGUGGCGAAGGCGACUGACUGGACAAGUAUUGACGCUGAGGUGCGAAAGCGUGGGGAGCAAACAGGAUUAGAUACCCGUGUAGUCC
rnacentral:rRNA from 1 species